rnacentral:misc_RNA from 1 species
GUGAACGCCCCUCGUGGGCUUGAACCACUCCAAACCUCUGUGAACCGUGCCCCUCUCGGGGCUAUCUUACAAACACGGUGUGAUGAACGUCAUAACUUUAACAAACA